AACGCGUAUGCAACCUACCUUAAUCAGGGGGAUAGCCCGAAGAAAUUCGGAUUAACACCGCAUAAAAUCACAGUACAGCAUUGUACAAUGAUCAAAUAUUUAUAGGAUUAAGAUGGGCAUGCGUGACAUUAGUUAGUUGGCGGGGUAACGGCCCACCAAGACCACGAUGUCUAGGGGAUCUGAGAGGAUGACCCCCCACACUGGUACUGAGACACGGACCAGACUCCUACGGGAGGCAGCAGUAAGGAAUAUUGGUCAAUGGAGGCAACUCUGAACCAGCCAUGCCGCGUGCAGGAAGACAGCCCUCUGGGUCGUAAACUGCUUUUAUUCGGGAAUAAACCACAUUACGUGUAGUGUGCUGAAUGUACCGAAGGAAUAAGGAUCGGCUAACUCCGUGCCAGCAGCCGCGGUAAUACGGAGGAUCCAAGCGUUAUCCGGAUUUAUUGGGUUUAAAGGGUGCGUAGGCGGCUUUUUAAGUCAGGGGUGAAAGACGGUGGCUCAACCAUCGCAGUGCCCUUGAUACUGAAGAGCUUGAAUGAACUAGAGGUAGGCGGAAUGUGACAAGUAGCGGUGAAAUGCAUAGAUAUGUCACAGAACACCGAUUGCGAAGGCAGCUUACUAUGGUUAUAUUGACGCUGAGGCACGAAAGCGUGGGGAUCAAACAGGAUUAGAUACCCUGGUAGUCCACGCCCUAAACGAUGAAUACUCGCUGUUAG
rnacentral:rRNA from 1 species